UAGAGAUCUGGAGGAAUACCGGUGGCGAAGGCGGCCCCCUGGACAAAGACUGACGCUCAGGUGCGAAAGCGUGGGGAGCAAACAGGAUUAGAUACCCUGGUAGUCCACGCCGUAAACGAUGUCUACUUGGAGGUUGUGCCCUUGAGGCGUGGCUUCCGGAGCUAACGCGUUAAGUAGACCGCCUGGGGAGUACGGCCGCAAGGUUAAAACUCAAAUGAAUUGACGGGGGCCCGCACAAGCGGUGGAGCAUGUGGUUUAAUUCGAUGCAACGCGAAGAACCUUACCUGGUCUUGACAUCCACAGAAGACUGCAGAGAUGCGGUUGUGCCUUCGGGAACUGUGAGACAGGUGCUGCAUGGCUGUCGUCAGCUCGUGUUGUGAAAUGUUGGGUUAAGUCCCGCAACGAGCGCAACCC
rnacentral:rRNA from 1 species